ACGGCUGCUUCCGGCGUCAGCGGCGCUGCCGCUGCCUUCGCGCUAUGGCUGCGUUGGGUCGGCAGGUCUUGGAUGGGCACCACCUGAUCCCCCUCACCUGGUCCCUUAUUGCUAGGCAGACUACUCGGCUUGGAGGACAGAAGAGGACGACUGCUUUUUUGCUGCGUAAACUGACAACGGUCUCCGGCGGGGGGGGCCUCGGGGAGUCACCCUCUGUUGAACCCCAGAAGUACGCGCAAGAACCAGAGCACAGGACGGGGCUGACUCAGUGCCUCCUCGAGAAGCAGAGGACGGCUGUGGAGCGAGAGAAGGUCGUCAGUUCCCUCCUGGACAUGGGUUUCAGUGAUGUCCAUGUUAAUGAACUGCUCAGUAUACAGCCAGGCACCCACCCUCAGCAGUUGCUGGAUAUCAUUUCAGAAUUAAUACUCCUGGGUCUGAAUCCAGAGCCUGUGUGUGUGGCCUUAAAGAAGAGUCCUCAGUUACUGAAACUGCCUGUCAUGCACAUGAAGAAGCGCUCCAGUUACCUGCGAAAGCUGGGGCUUGGAGAAGGGAAAUUAAAGCGGGUGCUUUACUCUUGCCCUGAAAUUUUCACCAUGCGUCAGCGGGACAUUGAGAGCAUCGUCGGGGUUCUCAAGGAGAAGUGCCUUUUCACGGUAAAGCAAGUCACCGAGAUUUUGCACAGAUGCCCCUGUGUUCUUCGGGAGGACCCUGGUGAACUGGAAUACAAAUUCCAGUAUGCCUAUUUCAGGAUGGGGAUUAAACAUGUGGACGUGGUGAAGACCGACUUCCUGCAGUACUCCAUGACCAAGACCAAGGAGAGGCACGUGUUCCUGGAGCGCCUGGGCCGGUACCAGACCCCCGACAAGAAGGGGCAGACGCUGGUCCCCAACCCUUUACUCAAGGACAUCCUCAGGGUUUCAGAAGCUGAGUUUCUGGCCAAGACAGCCUGUUCUUCUGCUGAGGAGUUUGGGGUUUUUAAGGAACUCUUGGCCCGGGAGGAGGAGGAGUCUGAGGGCCGAAUGGCUGAUGCCGGAAGCCCGGAGGAGGAGGCGGGGCCGUGACGGACGGACUGGAGUGCAGAGAAGCCCAGACGGAUCGGAGGUGUUGGUUUACGGUUAUCCUGGCCUCACACAGUGGGUUGGGGCAUACUCCUUUCUACUCCCCGGAAGAGCCUGUAUCACGCUGCAACAAUCUGUUUCUCGGCAGUUUGGUGGAAUUUACCCAUAGCAUUGUUUGGGCCUGGUGUUUCCUUGUGAGAAAACUUCUUUGCAUCCUCAGCUCUCUGAUAGGUUAAAAGGCCCUUUCAGCCUCUGGUCAUUCACCAGUAAUUCUGGGGAUUACUCCACAGCUGCUCCCACGUUUCCUCCUCACUCUGGGAUUCCUGUCACCUCAGCGUCAGCACUCCUACCCUCCUCAGCGCCUGCGUUGUCUUUUGAUUUGAGUGUUGCCCUGCUUCUCUCUCGUACAGCCCCGCACGCCGAUCUGUCCACGCAUUAACUUAAGUCCUCGUCCGUAUCCAUUUGGUCACAGACCCCCUCCGUCCUGAACCCCUAGAGCUACUGAUCUGUUCAUCACUGCAGUUUUGCCAGAGAAGUGGAAGCAAACAACCUGUACUCUUCUGAGACUGGCUUCUUUCACUCAGCGUCAUGCCUCCAGGACUGUCUCAGGUGUUAUAAGCAUCAGUAAUUAGUCCUUUUUAUGACCGAGUUGUGUCCCACGUCGACAGGUACCGCAGUUCAUGUGUCCGUUCACCCUGGGAAGGACGUUUGGGUUCCCGGUUUCUGGUGGCUAUAGACAUGCUACAGACAUUCCUGUACAGAGUUCUGUGUGACAUAAGUUUUCAUUUGUUUAGGGUUAAUACCUAGGAGUGCGAUUGCUGGGUCAUAUUGUAAGUGUAUGUUUAACUUUAUAAAAAAAACUAUCAAACUAUUUCAGAGUGGCCAAACUGUUCGGCAUUCCCACCAAAAAUAGGUGAGAGUUCCCGUUGUCCUGUACCCUCACCAGGUCAGUGUCUUUUAUUUUAGCGAUUAUCAUAGGCUUGCAGUGGCAUCU